GCGCAGACCGGCUGCGCAGCAGGCGUGUGCGUUGUCUAGAUUCUUUGUGCCAUUCCUGGCAUACCAAAAACAAGAGUGGUGACUGCGCUCGUAUUUACCGGGGUGCAGCCUUGCGCGCUAAUAUUACUGUGCGAAUUUUACCCGUGGUGUAAAGGCUCCGCGCGCGCGCGACGCCACGUCAGCUCGCCCAGUGGUGCACCCACGUCGCUGUCAUCCUGACCUGCCCGAGAAAUCCUCAUGAAAGACUGGGAACUCAGUACUCAGAAUAGCAUCGAUACUGUCUCCCGGUUGCCGAACGAAUCUCCAGAGCCGACCGAAAUCCAUCCUGUAUCGAAAGAUCGAUUUAACCA